rnacentral:rRNA from 1 species
UGGGGAAAUAUUGCACAAUGGGGGAAACCCUGAUGCAGCGACGCCGCGUGAGCGAAGAAGUAUUUCGGUAUGUAAAGCUCUAUCAGCAGGGAAGAUAAUGACGGUACCUGACUAAGAAGCCCCGGCUAACUACGUGCCAGCAGCCGCGGUAAUACGUAGGGGGCAAGCGUUAUCCGGAUUUACUGGGUGUAAAGGGAGCGUAGACGGCCAGGCAAGUCUGAUGUGAAAACCCGGGGCUCAACCCCGGGACUGCAUUGGAAACUGUCAGGCUAGAGUGCCGGAGAGGCAAGCGGAAUUCCUAGUGUAGCGGUGAAAUGCGUAGAUAUUAGGAAGAACACCAGUGGCAAAGGCGGCCUGCUGGACGGUAACUGACGUUGAGGCUCGAAAGC